AGAGUUUGAUCAUGGCUCAGAACGAACGCUGGCGGCGUGGAUAAGACAUGCAAGUCGAACGCUGAUCACAGGGUAGCAAUAUUUUGUGGUCGGAGUGGCGCAAGGGUGCGUAACACGUGGGUAAUCUGCCGCGAAGACCGGAAUAACUUGCUGAAAAGCGAGCUAAUGCCGGAUGUGACUGUCUGGGGGCUUCCUCGGGCAGUCAAAGCUGGGGACCGCAAGGCCUGGCGCUUCGCGAUGAGCCCGCGGCCUAUCAGCUAGUUGGUGAGGUAACGGCUCACCAAGGCUAAGACGGGUAGCUGGUCUGAGAGGACGAUCAGCCACACUGGGACUGAGACACGGCCCAGACUCCUACGGGAGGCAGCAGUGGGGAAUAUUGGACAAUGGGGGAAACCCUGAUCCAGCGACGCCGCGUGGGUGAAGAAGGCCUGCGGGUUGUAAAGCCCUUUCGGUAGGGACGAAAGCUCUCGACCUAACACGUCGGGAGGUUGACUUAACCUACAAAAGAAGCACCGGCUAACUCUGUGCCAGCAGCCGCGGUAAUACAGAGGGUGCGAGCGUUAAUCGGAAUUACUGGGCGUAAAGCGCACGUAGGCGGCUUGGUAUGUCGGGUGUGAAAUCCCCGGGCUCAACCUGGGAACUGCAUCCGAAACUGCCUUGCUCGAGUAUGGGAGAGGGAAGCGGAAUUUCCGGUGUAGCGGUGAAAUGCGUAGAUAUCGGAAGGAACAUCAGUGGCGAAGGC
rnacentral:rRNA from 1 species